GGGCAAUCACAUAGACAUGCGCAUGGUAAGUGGCUCGAUUUCUAAUCUAUAAGGCUUAACAAAGUGAAGCCACAAGAAUGAUCAGACUAGCCGCGGGCGUGCGAACUAAGUCGGGUCCUCAUGACUUCGGCUUGGUCAAAGAGCCGACCUAGGUUGCGGGCAUGCGAACCGAGGUGGGUACUCUUGACACCAGAAAAGAAACUUCGGGAUUGAGAUGGGCGACUC
rnacentral:lncRNA from 1 species